rnacentral:sRNA from 1 species
GCCGGGCAUGGUGGUGCACGUCUGUAAUCCCAGGGCCUUGGGAGGCUGAGGCAGGAGGAUCAAACCAGCCUCAGCAAAAGUGAGGCACUAAGCAACUCAGUGAGACCCUGUCUCUA